UUUGGUCAUGCAGAGUCUCAGAUGUUCCAGAGACUCCACAGUAUAGGAGUCCAGUGGAGAGCUGAACAUGUAGAUCUAAAGUACUGGGGAGGACUUACAGGAGAAGGAGUUACUAUGGAAAGGUAGAUUGUGAUGAAAAGUCCAGCAGGUGGCCUAGGUUUUCGUGGGGGAGUGGCCAUGACAUUGAGGCCGAAGUAAAGCAGAAACGGACGUGAACUGACAACAGUGUCAGGCUGGUGCUUACUUCUUCUCCUGUAGACUUAACAGCCUUUUGUGGUGGAACCUGGGGAGUGUCUGUCAGAAUGUCAAGUGACUUUACCCAAGAUGUGUCCCGUGGGUGUGGAUUUUGUACCUGAUGAAGAGACCUCAUGUCCAGGGAAGAAGUGGAACCUGACCAGAGGUCGUUAGAUCCGCAUGGUGCGACGGAAGUUGGAGUCUCGAACAAGGCCUGGUGGGGAAGCCUUCAGAAGAGGGCUGGGGAGCUGCCAGUGGAGACGUGGGGUACAGUGGGGUUGUGUUGCAUUGGCCAAGUACUUCCUGAAUGCCAUGUGCAGAAGGGUAUGUGAGGAGGCAGGGGAUGUGGCAGUUUUGUGGGCCAGGUGGUAGCGAUGGGGUCAGAUGUACGUGGAGGUCUGAUGAGUAAUACGCAUGUGGGAAGGACUUGUGAACCCAGGGCCCUGAUCCCAGGCCCACAGUUUAGAUGGCAUCUGUCUCUCCACCUGCCUGUUGCUGAGGGGUGGAGCUCGUGCUCAAGGAAGCAAAGAGAGGUAUUGGCCCUCUAAGUGAGAGAGCUGGAGAGGAUGAUGAGCACGGAGUGAAUGUGGGCUGGUGUUAUAGGUACUCCUGAGGUCCUGGGGAGAGAGCCUGCUUAUGGACACCUCUGUCCCCGUCAUCACAGGGCUCUGUGACCUUUGAGGACGUGGCUGUGUACUUUUCCCAGGAGGAAUGGAAGCUUCUUCAUGAGGCCCAGAGACUCCUGUACCGAGAUGUGAUGCUGGAGACCUUUGCACUUGUUGCAUCAUUGGGACUUGCAUCUUCUAGGUCCCAUGUUGUCCAGCUGGAGCUGGGAGGAGAACCCUGGGUACAUGACAGAGUGGACAUGACUCCAGGCACAGCAAGAGGGCCUCAGAGUGGGCCUGGCCCUGGUGAUUCACAUCUGGGGGAGGAUGUGAUGUCACAGCUGGGUUCACACCAUACCAGGAACAUGUCCUGUGCCCCGCACUGUUUGGGUGCCAUGGCCAGGGGCUGUGUACCUCAUUUCUGCCUUUCCUGCCCAUUCUUGACACUUUGCUCCUUCUCUCAUUUCUACUCUGCCUUCCGGCCCAGGAUUAUCCCUCACCUCGUCUUCCACUCCUCAUACGUCUACUCCAUCCUCACUCUGCUAUGGUACGUAAUAUUGGUGAAAACGUAAUGUGUCAUAAGGUCUGCAUCCGUUCUUAAGAUAGUCCUUGAACACCAGCUCCUCAGGGACAGUUGGAUUUUCUUGGGAUGGACAAAACCUUCACACAACACACAUGUGUCACCAACAGCCAAGGCCCUGGUGAAAACCUCGACUGGAUGAGUUUUACAGCUGUGGCUCCUUCAUGCCCUCCACCCCAUUCUUAUGUCUUUUGCCUCCUGAAUCUUCCCUGUUCUGCGAUAUGUAGAGGCCCAGAAUCUGCAUGGCAGCCCUUAUCCUUCCUUGCCCCAGCUUCUUUGUCCUGAAAAUAGUCCCAUGAAUUUAUUCCCGGGUAUGUCAGACACAUAUCUGGGAUGGGGCUGUCCCCUUCUACCAAAAUCUCGUGAGUUCAUUUGUAUUUCUCUACUUUCAGGUUGCUGGCUUGGAGCUGAGUACAAUGAGACACCUUCUGAGCAGAAUAUUUCUGUAGAAGUGCCCCAGAUGAAUCCUUCAAAGUAUUUUGAAGAUGGCCUGCCCCUGGGAGAGAUGUAGGCUGCACUUAGUGGUUUGCAUCUAGCUGAGGUUGCAGGAACAACCUUUGCCAGAAUAUGUGGGGGCAGGAGUGAAGCACAGUGGAGAAAAAGUCUUUGGAAGUGAUGUGGGUAAGGCCUUCAUGAAGAGUCACACAGUCCAUACUUCCAAGUUGUCUGUAACAUGCCAGGAGGCUGAGAAGGGUUUCCUGGGUAGCUGUGUCCUUCAGCUUCAGGUCCUGUCACAAAAGGACACUGAGUGUGAGGAGGCCUUUCCCAGUGGACAAAGGCAAUACCAAUGCAGUGAAUGUGGGAAAGCCUGCUGAAAUACAGGCCUGCUGAACACCAGAGAGUCCAUACUGGAGUGAGGCAGUUUGUGUGGGAAAAUCUUCAGCUCUAAAGGCAAACUUUUUCUGCACUGAAGAGUCCACACUGGAAAUAGGCCUUAUGAGUGCAAUGAAUGUGGAAAAGCCUUCUGCUAUAAAGAUUCACUUGUUCAACGCCAGAAAACCAGCUCUGGAGAUUUGUUCCAUAAGUGCUGUGAGUGUGGGAAAGGCUUCAGCUGCAAAUAUUACUUGCUCAGCACCAGAGUGUCCACACUAGAGAAAGGCCUUAUGAAUUAAGUUGCUGUGGGUAAAACCUUUAAUUAGAAAUACCAACUUGUUGAGCCCAGGGGAGGCCACACUGGAGAACAUCCUUAUGAUGAAUGCAGUCAGUGUGGGGAUGUCUCCAGCUCUAAAGGCAAGCUUGUUCAGCACCAGAGCAUCCACACUGGAGAGAGGCCUUAUAAGUUGUCAGUGUGCCAAGUUCUUUAGGCAAAACUUCAGUCAUAUGAACCAACAGCGAAUUGACACUGGAGCAACACCUUAUGAAUGUAGUGAAUGCUUGAAAUCCUUUUGCCAGAAGUCCUCCCUUAAUCAACACUGUAGAGUUCACACUGGAGCAACACCUUAUAAAUGCAGUGAAUAGGGGAAAUUCUUUUCCUCCCACACUCAUCUAAUUAAACACUUGUGAAUCCACACUGGGGAAAGGCAUUAUGAGUAUAUUGAAGGUGGGAAAUCCUUUAAUCAAUGUUCCACCCUCAUUAGAUAUCAAUGAAUUGGCACUGGUGAAAGGGCAUAUGAAUGUACUGAAUGCGUUGAAACCUUUAACCAGAGCACCCAGCUUACUUUAUAAUGAAAAGUUCACACCAUAGAAAGGCCUCAUAAGUGCAGCAAAUGUGGGAAAGUCUUCUGUCCAAGGUUUGCUUUCAUUGAGCACCAGAAACUUUACAGCCUUUAUAAACCUUAUUAGUGGAGCAAAAGCAGGAAAAUAAUGAUAAUAAAUACAUAAUACUAAGUAUGUUUGUGCAGUUGUCAUCAAUUUGAGAUUGAACUCCAUAUAUCUGAACAUCCCUGGUGUGGAGAUAGCUUCUGAUUUCUGGGUCAUAGGAAGCUUUUAAGAAGCUAUGCUAUACUUUAUAACCUGCCCAGGACUGUUGCCAGACUUAUGUCACUGUGAGUGUCUUCCACCAAGUUUCAGAUCCCCAUAGUGGGCAACACCCCUGAGGAUGACCAAGCUAGGUAGACCUUGUGCUCUCACAGCCUGUGGAAUGAAGCAUGUGUAGCCUGAGCAGAUGGGUGUUUGUCAUUCUCUUGUGGCUGCCUAGCCCAUGGACCUAACUGCCUUUGACCAGGGGGAUCUUCUCUGGGUGCUCCUGGUGGCUUACAAAGGUUUACCUUGUUUAGUGGCAUGUCUCAUGUCAUGCUCAGGUUGGAUUUUUCUAGCUCCAAGGUACUGUUUGGAAAGUGUCUCCUUCAAUUUGCUCUGUUCUCUGCCAUAAUAAAGUUAUUAUUUAAGCUACAUUUCAUCCUGGGUAUUUUGCAAUGGUUUUGAGAACCAAAUUGAACCAUCAAGAUGAAGAGGAACAGGUUUUGUGGGCAUUCUGAACUCAGUAUACCUCAUUGAGAAUAGCAUCAUGGUAGAGAACAGUUUGCACUCCAGUUUUGCUCUAAUUUGUAUGGUUAUCCAAGGCUUCCUGGGAAAGACUAUGGAUUUGUGUGACUAGUCUUGUGACCUAGACAAUGUUACAAUUUUUGGUAGGUCUAGGAGUCACCCUGACAAUCAUCAGUGUUUUCUGGGGCAGCACUUGUUCUCUUUUUCACAUGGGAUGUUGCAUAAUACCCCCAACACUUUAAAAAAGAAGAUAUUUUCUAGAUCCACCUGGAAAAAACCUUGUUCCCUAAUGUCCAAAUUUAGUAAUCUGGUGCUACUGAGUAUA
ensembl:lncRNA